CUUUGACAUUUUUUUAUUCUGUUGUUUUAUAAAGAACCUGCUAUUGAAAAACCCAAGGAACCUGCUAUUGAAAAAUCUGAGCCUCUCAAAGAAGCUUGGAGGAAAAUGAAUUGGGGUGAUAGAGAAAAGGAACUCGGGUGGCUGAAUUUGUUCGCUCUGAAAAAGGACACCAAAAAGCAUCUUCGGAUUCUAAUCUACGGCCCGGCUGGAAGUGGGAAAUCCAGUUUCAUUAAUUCUGUUGACGGUGUUUGUCAGAACAGGA